UACGAAGGGGGCUAGCGUUGUUCGGAUUUACUGGGCGUAAAGCGCACGUAGGCGGAUCGUUAAGUCGGGGGUGAAAUCCUGGAGCUCAACUCCAGAACUGCCUUCGAUACUGGCGAUCUUGAGUCCGGAAGAGGUGAGUGGAACUCCUAGUGUAGAGGUGGAAUUCGUAGAUAUUAGGAAGAACACCUGUGGCGAAAGCGGCGCACUGGACCGUACACUGACGC
rnacentral:rRNA from 1 species